AUACUUAUCUGGAUGGGGUCUAUGGGUGAUCAAUAAGGUCCAUGACCUAGGUCAGUGAUCUCCAUUGCACUUGGGAGAGGCGCUUGCCUAAGGACUCCCCACGUGGGAGAGCCUACCUAACUUAUGGCAGUGGGGGCCUGCGUUCGUGAGGCCCUCGU